rnacentral:pre_miRNA from 1 species
UGAGCUCUUGUCUAAUAUUUUUUGAUAAAAUUUUCGUGGUAUUAGAUGAAAGAAUAUAUGUUUUUAUUAUUACUUCCAUCCGUUUACAUAUGGUUAUUACGUCACUAGAUGGAAAUAUAAGGCCG